UACAGAGGUCUCAAGCGUUGUUCGGAUUCAUUGGGCGUAAAGGGUGCGUAGGUGGCGCCGUGAGUCGGGUGUGAAAUUUCGGAGCUUAACUCCGAAACUGCAUUCGAUACUGCGGUGCUUGAGGACUGGAGAGGAGACUGGAAUUCAUGGUGUAGCAGUGAAAUGCGUAGAGAUCAUGAGGAAGACCAGUGGCGAAGGCGGGUCUCUGGACAGUUCCUGACACUGAGGCACGAAGGCCAGGGGAGCAAACGGG
rnacentral:rRNA from 1 species